rnacentral:rRNA from 1 species
AAGUAUUGGAGGUGAUGCCUGCCCAGUGACAUCAUGUUCAACGGCCGCGGUAUCCUAACCGUGCAAAGGUAGCGCAAUCAAUUGUCUCAUAAAUCGAGACCUGUAUGAAUGGCUAAACGAGGUCUUAACUGUCUCCUGCAGAUAAUCAGUGAAACUGAUCUCCCUGUACAAAAGCAGGGAUGAGCACAUAAGACGAGAAGACCCUGUGGAACUUCAAAAUCAAUAGCCACCUCAACACCCACCCAAACCUACCAGGCUCACCACCCAAAGCUAUGGCUAAUAUUUUUAGGUUGGGGCGACCCUGGAGAAAAACAAAUCCUCCACAAAUCAAGGCCACAACCCUUAACCAAGAGCCACCCCUCAACGUGCUAAGAGCACACAGACCCAAUAAAAUUGACCAAUGAACCAAGCUACCCCAGGGAUAACAGCGCAAUUCCCUCCAAGAGCCCCUAUCGACGAGGGAGUUUACGACCUCGAUGUUGGAUCAGGACAUCCUAGUGGUGCAACCGCUACUAAGGGUUCGUUUGUUCAA